AUGAAGAGAAACAAACAAACAGUGGGUCACUACUGGAGGGAAAAAAGUUCACAAAGCAAGUAUAAACUAAACUGUAACAACAAUACUUUUAUUCUCAGCAAAAUCUUUUCAGAAUCUGUAGAAGAAGCGUGGGAAUGCAAAACCCUCCACAAUCCAGUGUUGAUAACGGGCCAUUUUGUGUGUGUGUGUGUGUGUGUGUGGUGGGGUGGGGUUUUUAACUGGAUUCUGGUGAAUCCACGUAAUCAGGGUUGUACGGCGGUAGAGGUGAGGUGUGGUCUGUGAGAAGCGCUGGUUGUAGAGCGUACAUGAUCUGAUCUUCAUCAUAUGCAGCCUGACUGAAGGGAGCAGGAAACUGACCUGCUGGAAAACAAAAACCAGUUGUUCAGUAAUUAAAAAUAGGUUUGAUUUCCCCCUUUAUUUCUCACGUAAUGUAAAGUUUCUUUUUUUGUUGUGUGCGUCAGUCACGGCAUCUCACCCACUGUAACCACAAUCCUGUUCUCAACACAUCACAUAUUUAUGCAAGAAUUUAUUCUUGGCAUGUGAACAAAUAGUUCUGUGACAAUAAAAAAUAAAUUUAUGCAGUUUUGAGCUUCCA
ensembl:lncRNA